UUGUGAAAUAAUUGCAUUUGGAACAAUGAAGACAUAACGUAAAUCCUGUACUUCUAUACAUAUCUGGGACUAACAUGUUACUUCAUAUUUGAAAAGACUGUACAAAACAGUUCCUGUUAUUUCAACCCUGUGGAAUAGAUGGCAGAGCUUUCAGAAAAGAAAUAAUGAAUACAGCACCCAUUCUAUAGAGCUUUCACCUUCACAUCUGUGGAUAAUGCCACAAGGUUUUGCAUGGAAGUCUUCAAGUCAUCAUAUACCUUACAGUGGAUGAUAUGAAUAAUAUUGAAGCUACUGGGUUGACAAGGAAAAUCUGAAGGAUAUUUGUAACAGUAGUUGAGGAUGACUUUGCCAUCCAGGUGAAGAAGCCUUGCAGGAGAAAAUAAAGCAGUGGAAUUGUAAGUGUUCAACAGGUUCAUAUUUAUCUAGCCAUUUUUGAGCAGGAACUCUUGGAAUUGUUGGCUCAAAAAGUAGUAGCUCAGUCAAUAUAAUUCAAAUUUAAAAUUUAAUUAAUAUAUUCAGACUAAUGGAUGCAUAAGGAAUGAAUCUUCAAAGCUUUUAACACCUUUCUCUCUUUCAGGUACCAAGGGAGGUGAACAGCAUUCUCCCCUGUUCUUACUAUUUCAUAUUAUUGUUGUUAGUAAUUUCAUGUCUAUUGCUGAUGAAAAUUUAAAAUAAACAUCUCUCAGUA